UACGUAGGGUGCAAGCGUUAAUCGGAAUUACUGGGCGUAAAGGGCUCGUAGGUGGCCAACUAAGUCAGACGUGAAAUCCCUCGGCUUAACCGGGGAACUGCGUCUGAUACUGGAUGGCUUGAGUUCGGGAGAGGGAUGCGGAAUUCCAGGUGUAGCGGUGAAAUGCGUAGAUAUCUGGAGGAACACCGGUGGCGAAGGCGGCAUCCUGGACCGACACUGACGCUGAGGAGCGAAAGUGUGGGGAGCGAACAGG
rnacentral:rRNA from 1 species